CAUACAUAUAUAGUUUUGGGUGUAAAAUUAUUACAAUGGGAAACAACAAAAUUUAUUUUGACCAACAAGACUAAGGCAACUGAUAAUUUUGCCAGAUUAUUACAAUUGUACGAAAUCAUUUGCAUAUAUGUACUAAAACAUUUGGAAAUUUCUGUGAAACAAUGAGAAAUUAUGUUUUGCUGUGCAGAAAUAACAUUAUGGCGUGCAGAUUACAAUUGUGUUGCAAAUUUUAAUAGUCAUUUGAGAAAUGUUCCAAAGCAAUUGAGAAAAACAAAGCAGGUAAUCUGAAAAGAAUAUAAUAGACAUUGAAUUUUUGUAAAUAGAAAGGUUUAAUUCAAGUGUUUAAUCUAGAAGUUAAGAGAAACAAUUUCACCAUAACAAAGUCAGACAAAAUGUUUACUCAUGCAAAGCCUUGUGUACACAUUUGCACUAAGUUAGUUUCUAACAGCUUUUGUCUAAAAGCAGUUUAGGAUAUCAGAACAAUAUGAGUGAGCAAAGUAGCCCGCAGUUAUUUAUGGAGCUCCGGAAAUUUUCUUUAAAGCUCAUUCUGACAUGUCCCCUGGCUUCUCCUCUGUCCCAGAGGGGGUCAAACAAACUAUUGUUGCAUCGUUCAUUUCACUGUUAUUUUCAGCUCUUCAUCAAAGCUGAGGGUUCAGCCUGAAUGUUAUCCAUUCAGAUUAUAUCCAACAUACGGCAGGGUGGUCCUUAAAAAUCAACUUCUGAAAUUUCUUGCUUUCACCCCAUAGUUUUGUUCUUUGACAUCAGAAAAUGUUUUUUGAAAAUGAUUGGACAAUUUUUGAACAAAUUUCGGGGUUGCUGAAAUUGAGAAAAAUUUAAGAUUUUGAGUUAAAAGUGUGAAUCUCGCCUGUGGCACCUCGCAUUUGUAUAACCUGCUUUGUGUAGCUAUACUCAAGUUUCUGUUACUUAUUUAUUAAUUUUGGAAUAAACAGUUAAACAUUUUUUGCAGUGUUUACAGUA